AGAAUCAACGCUGGCGGCGUGCCUAACACAUGCAAGUCGCACGAGAAAGGGGAGCAAUCCCUGAGUACAGUGGCGCACGGGUGAGUAACACGUGAAUAAUCUACCUCCGAGUGGGGAAUAACUGAGAGAAAUCUUAGCUAAUACCGCAUAACACUUACGAGUCAAAGCAGCAAUGCGCUUGGAGAGGAGUUCGCGGCCGAUUAGUUAGUUGGCGGGGUAAUGGCCCACCAAGACGAUGAUCGGUAUCCGGCCUGAGAGGGCGCACGGACACACUGGAACUGAAACACGGUCCAGACUCCUACGGGAGGCAGCAGUGGGGAAUUUUGCGCAAUGGGGGAAACCCUGACGCAGCAACGCCGCGUGGAGGAUGAAGCCCCUUGGGGUGUAAACUCCUUUCGAUCGGGAAGAUAAUGACGGUACCGAUAUAAGAAGCCCGGCUAACUUCGCGCCAGCAGCCGC
rnacentral:rRNA from 1 species